GUUUUGUCCUCAAAAGGCACCUUCAGCUGGAAAAAAUGUCAAGAAUAACUUGAAGUCUAUAUAUUAUUUUUUUCUUAACUCUGCCUAUGAAGCACAUUUCUCUCCUAGUUGACAACUUGUUUCAGCAGUAGUCUUAAAGUUUAGCAGCUUGUUAAAGGCAUAUGAUGCUGCCUCAUACAUUCUGAAACAAAAAUGCACACGGGUCUGUGUAUGUGUAAGUGUGUAUGUGUAUGUGUGCAUGGAGGGGAUGGUACCUUGGUAUGGAAGUAUUUUGCCUUUAGAAUAGCUGUAUAUAUAUUUUUUUUCUGACUGUCUUCUUUCUGCUGGCUUAUGGUGCUUUGUUGUCUCCUUGGUCAGCGUAUUUAUACACGUGCCCUUUUGGUUCUCAGCAGCAUCUUCUCAAGCCACUGUUCCUUUGGUGGUAGUGCAGGUGUAGUCAGGUAUCUGCGUUGUCCAAGCCCAGCAGGGGGGCAGGAGAAGUAAGGGAGAGAGGAAGGAGUGGAUUUAGGAGCCCUGCUGGCUCACAGAGCAGUUCUGGGUUGAGAACUGGUAGUUCUCUGUGCUUGACUGCUGUAACCCAGCAUCCAGCACUACUAGAGUUGCUCUUGCUUCACCCGCAUAGAUGCCUCCAAGGACACAAGCUUGGAUGCUAAGCCAGAAGAGACUUAUCCAAAUCCUUGUCCUAUUAAUCUCCAAGGCAUAGAGAGUGAUAGAGACCAAAGCACUUAUUGAAAGCAAGUGGAAAACAAGUGUUACAUUGCUUUUCUUACAAGGUGUGUUACGCAGUGUUGCAGUUACCUUCUAUCGAUGUGAAUUUGAAAGCCAGGUGCUGUUUUCUGUUGCAGGGAAGUUACCUAUCUUAGUAGUGACCCUGGAUAGCUUAUGUUUUUUGUGCUCCUAGGGACAUCUCCCAGGCAAACAAACAGCAGCUGCUCAAACUCACUGUUGAAGUCACAGACUGCAUGUAUUUCAGUGAGCUGUCUCAAGUCAGCUGUCCCUGUUGCUGUACCUGCACACUUCCAGAAAGUUGCCUUACUCUGCUGCUUGUCAGCUUAGUGCUGAGAAAUAGGGCGUACCUCCCUGGUGUGCUUAUUUGCUUUUAGGAUAAAGCCUUGAUCUACCUGUUGCUUGCCCAUCUCUAAUGCUGUCCAAUUUAAGGACCCGUUGCUAAUGGAACUUCCAGUUAACCUCAACCUCUGGAUCCAAGGAUUUCAGACAAGGUAAGAAGGGGUCACUGAACUUCAAGAGGAAAUCUUUCUUGGGCUAGAAAGAGCCCAUGGAGAUCACUUAAGCUCUUGAGCCUGCUGGAUGCUUAAAUGUAGUAAAAAGCUGGCAUUUUUGUUGUUGUUUUUCUCUUUUGUCAGUACUGAAACAGUUGACCUAGUACAGCAGUCCAAGAGAUGCUGCAUUGCUUCCAUUGCACAGAAAUAAAACAGGCCAUAGCCAUCUCACAGACCUUUAAUAAAUAAAUAAAUAAAUCAUAUGCCCUUAGAUUUGAGACUGAUGAAGUCUUUCAAAAAUCUGACUAAUAAAAGCCAUUUUGUGGAGUUUUUAAUGGUUAUCAGUGAUGACUACAUAGCUCCAGAGAAGAUAAAGGUUUGGAUUGGGUGAUUUAAAAUUUAUUUCUCAGUAGUUUAGGUAUGUCACUUGCUGGUACUCUGUCUUAUGUCUGUUCCCUGCUGCCUAGAAGUACUAAAUUUAGAUACGCAGUUAAAUUGAAAUCAAUAAGUGUCGGUGCUUAAUGCACAGCUUUUAACUACAGGGUAAAACCAAUGAGUAGCAGUUGAACUAGUAGAGACUGGUAAAUAUAAACUGAAAGGUAUGUGAAUGGCUGGACUCUGCCAAAGGUGAUGGGUGAACCUUCAGGGUACAGUUUCACACUUCACUUAAGGCAGUCUAGCUGCGUGUUGUUGCUGAAGCAGGCUCUCUGCUUCUUGUUCCUGCUUCCAUCUUCGUUCUUUACAUCAGGUAAUAAGUUUAUCUGGUUAAAGAUUUCAUUUUGCUAGGGUGUUUUUUUCAGCUGAAUCAGCAGCUCUCUCUUGGCUGACUGCAGCAAAUUGAUCGGAGGCAGUACCAGGAGGGUGCUGGGGAAGAAAUAUGGUGUAUCCGAGAAGUAAUAAUCAACUGUUGGACUGACUGUGCAUCUGUGGUGUGUUUCUGUAUUUAACACGAGUCUGGAGGGAACAAUCUGGAGACAUCUGAACUGUGGCAUUUCUGCAUGACCAGUUGGAGGGCAGAGUUCACUUGGCUGCAGUAGUCACCAGCCAGCUGUCUGGCCUUCCCUGCUGCCGCGAGUCCUCACCCAAACACAGGGCAGAAGGGAAGAAGUGCCCUCUGCGGAGCGAUGGAUAAGGACAGUGGAGAAGUGAUCAAUAUCUAAGGUUUUCUUGGACGUUGGUGGGAGACACUUCCAGUAGUGAAUUAUCUGCUCCAGCUAUGCCUGGCAUCAUUUAACCACCUAAUGUUACCAGUGGUGGUAUCUAUGUGUUUCUAACAGGUAAUAAGUGCAAUAAAACAUGUUUUUCCAA